rnacentral:rRNA from 1 species
CAGCCGCCGCGGUAACACGUAGGGUGCAAGCGUUAAUCGGAAUUACUGGGCGUAAAGCGUGCGCAGGCGGUUUGUUAAGACAGAUGUGAAAUCCCCGGGCUUAACCUGGGAACUGCAUUUGUGACUGGCAAGCUAGAGUAUGGCAGAGGGGGGUGGAAUUCCGCGUGUAGCAGUGAAAUGCGUAGAUAUGCGGAGGAACACCGAUGGCGAAGGCAGCCCCCUGGGCCAAUACUGACGCUCAUGCACGAAAGCGUGGGGAGCAAACAGGAUUAGUACCCGGGUAGUCCCUGUCUCUUAUACA